ensembl:snoRNA
CAGCGUGUUUCCAAGGUCUGUGGCCCAUCAUGGCCAUGGGAUCUCCAACCGCAUGUGAGAGCAGCCUGGAGAGACUUUGAUAGCACAAGUGAACAUAAUUCUUCUCAACUGCCACUCUCCUUGCCUAGAAGA